GGAGUUAGCCGGUGCUUCUUCUGUGAGUGAUGUCCUUCCUGCCGGCUAUUAACCCGCAGGCCUUCUUCCUCACUGAAAGUGCUUUACAACCCGAAGGCCUUCUUCACACACGCGGCAUGGCUGGAUCAGGGUUGCCCCCAUUGUCCAAUAUUCCCCACUGCUGCCUCCCGUAGGAGUCUGGGCCGUGUCUCAGUCCCAGUGUGGCUGAUCAUCCUCUCAGACCAGCUACGGAUCGUCGCCUUGGUGAGCCGUUACCUCACCAACCAGCUAAUCCGACAUAGGCUCAUCCGAUAGCGCGAGGCCCGAAGGUCCCCCGCUUUCCCCCGUAGGGCGUAUGCGGUAUUAGCCUGGGUUUCCCCAGGUUAUCCCCCACUACCGGGCAGAUUCCUAUGCAUUACUCACCCGUCCGCCGCUCGCCACCAGGGAGCAAGCUCCCCGUGCUGCCGCUCGACUUGCAUGUGUUAGGCCUGCCGCCAGCGUUCAUCUGAGCCAUAAUACAACUACUGA
rnacentral:rRNA from 1 species